rnacentral:rRNA from 1 species
UCAAAGCAAGCCUAAAUACCAGUUCAACUAGACCUUAUAAAUCUAAUAUAUAAUAUAAUUUUUAACCAAAACAUUCUUAACCUUUCAGUAUGGGCGACAGAACAAUAACCUCAGCGCAAUAGCUUAUGUACCGCAAGGGAAUGCUGAAAAAGAAAUGAAAUAAAUUAUUAAAGUACCAAAAAGCAGAGAUUAUACCUCGUACCUUUUGCAUCAUGAU